rnacentral:rRNA from 1 species
GGGCCAGACUCCUACGGGAGGCAGCAGUGAGGAAUAUUGGUCAAUGGGCUUACGCCUGAACCAGCCAAGUCGCGUGAGGGAAGACUGCCCUAUGGGUUGUAAACCUCUUUUGUCAGGGAGCAACGCCGGCUACGUGUAGCCGGACUGAGAGUACCUGAAGAAAAAGCAUCGGCUAACUCCGUGCCAGCAGCCGCGGUAAUACGGAGGAUGCGAGCGUUAUCCGGAUUUAUUGGGUUUAAAGGGUGCGCAGGCGGCCUUUUAAGUCAGGGGUAAAAGCCCGGGGCUCACCCCGGCCGAGCCGUUGAAACUGGCGGGCUGGAGUUGGAGAGAAGUACGCGGAAUGCGCGGUGUAGCGGUGAAAUGCUUAGAUAUCGCGCAGAACCCCGAUUGCGAAGGCAGCGUACCGGCUCCACACUGACGCUGAGGCACGAAAGCGUGGGUAUCGAACAGGAUUAGAUACCCGGGUAGC